ACAGUGAACACCUUUGAGAAAAACCACUGGAACUAUUAAUAAUAGCUGAAAAUAUGAGUUCGAAAGAAAUUGUGCAUAAUAAAUUGGCAAAGAGAAAUAAAUAUCUAAUUAAUUGCGGACUUAUACGCAACGAAGCAUAUGACGAAUAUUUGAAAACAGGUUCGUCGUAUGACAAUUUGAAGCAAGCAUUUUAUAUCGCAGUGCAAUUAUCAAAGCAUGACGGCGACUUUGCACAAGAAGAAUUAGAAAAAUACGAACACUUGGUCAAACAUUUCGAUAAACAACUCCUACAUCAUCUUAAAGAAAGAAACUAUGAAGUAAAAGAAUUGAAAUUCAAUGGUGACGAAAACGACCAAUUUCGUGACAGAGUUCUUAAAAUAGAGGCCGAAGGACUUUCACGUUAUAGGAAAUAUUACACUUUCGUUGACGACCAACAAGAGUUUAAUGAAGCUAUUUCAUUGCUUUACAACGAAAUAUAUCUGGCACUCCGAGAUGGACUCAUAACUGAUAUAGAUUAUAAAAUACGCUGCGAGUCAACAAAAAAUAUCGAAAAUGACUUUGAAGCACGAUUUACAAACGAACGUUUUAGCAAUAACAAUUUCGCAGAGGAUGGUAAUAGUCGGGACAGCUAUAGACGAAGUUCGGGAAAUAAGGUACGGGGUAGGGGAAGAAAUGGUUUUGGAUGGAGAAAAAAUCAUUUUGGUAGCGCCAGCAAGGGGUAGAGAAAUGGGCGUUAUCGAGGAAGCAAUGAUCGUGAUCGAGGAAGCAAUGGUCGUGAUCGAGGAAGCAAUGGUCGUGAUCGAGGAAGCAAUGGUCGUGAUCGAGGAAGCAAUGGUCGUGAUCGAGAAAGCAAUGGUCGUAUUCGGACAAGCAGCUGGUAACUGAAGUUGUACUUAUCAAGUAUGAGGAUGGUAAUAGUCGGGACAGCUAUAGACGAAGUUCGGGAAAUAAGGUACGGGGUAGGGGAAGAAAUGGUUUUGGAUGGAGAAAAAAUCAUUUUGGUAGCGACAGCAAGGGGUCAAGAAAUGGGCGUUAUCGAGGAAGCAAUGAUCGUGAUCGAGGAAGCAAUGGUCGUGAUCGAGGAAGCAAUGGUCGUGAUCGAGGAAGCAAUGGUCGUGAUCGAGGAAGCAAUGGUCGUGAUCGAGGAAGCAAUGGUCGUGAUCGAGAAAGCAAUGGUCGUAUUCGGACAAGCAGCUGGUAACUAAAGUUGUGCUUAUCAAGUAUGAGGAUGGUAAUAGUCGGGACAGCUAUAGACGAAGUUCGGGAAAUAAGGUACGGGGUAGGGGAAGAAAUGGUUUUGGAUGGAGAAAAAAUCAUUUUGGUAGCGACAGCAAGAGGUCAAGAAAUGGGCGUUAUCGAGGAAGCAAUGAUCGUGAUCGAGGAAGCAAUGGUCGUGAUCGAGGAAGCAAUGGUCGUGAUCGAGACAAUAAUGGUCGUAUUCGGACAAGCAGCUGGUAACUGAAGUUGUACUUAUCAAGUAUUCGGUCGUAUUCGUACAAAUAAUAUAAAUCAUCUUGAAAAAUUAUAAAAUUUAGUGAUAAAUCCGUUAAUCCUGUUCAUCGUUUCUGUUCAUUAAUAAAAAUUAAA